rnacentral:Y_RNA from 1 species
GGCUGGUCCAGUACAGUGGCAUUUACAACUAAUUGAUGACAACCAGUUACAGAUUCCUUUGUUCCUUCUCCACUCCCACUGCUUCAUUUGACUACUCUUUA